GUUUAUGUAGCUUAAAUUUAAAGUAUGACAGUGAAGUUGUUGAGAUGAAAAUAUUUUGUGAACA
rnacentral:tRNA from 1 species